rnacentral:rRNA from 1 species
UGCCAGACUCCUACGGGAGGCAGCAGUGGGGAAUAUUGGGCAAUGGGCGCAAGCCUGACCCAGCAACGCCGCGUGAAGGAAGAAGGCUUUCGGGUUGUAAACUUCUUUUCUCAGGGACGAAGCAAGUGACGGUACCUGAGAAAUAAGCCACGGCUAACUACGUGCCAGCAGCCGCGGUAAUACGUAGGGGGCAAGCGUUAUCCGGAUUUACUGGGUGUAAAGGGAGCGUAGACGGCCAGACAAGUCUGAAGUGAAAAUCCAGCGCUUAACGUUGGAAGUGCUUUGGAAACUGCCGGGCUGGAGUGCAGGAGGGGCAGGCGGAAUUCCUAGUGUAGCGGUGAAAUGCGUAGAUAUUAGGAGGAACACCAGUGGCGAAGGCGGCCUGCUGGACCGCAACUGACGUUGAGGCUCGAAAGCGUGGGGAGCGAACAGGAUUAGAUACCCGUGUAC